AAAGAAAGCUAUCUUGAAGAAGGGGAUGCCAUCCAGAGAUACCUGCAAGAUGAAGCUAACAUAGAGAAAACCACAGUAUACAAAUCUUUCUUCCCCCUACAUUCCAUAUGGGUGAAAUCAAGGAACAAGAUGCAGUGGAAGAACACCAGCGAUCCCAGGAGACGCUCAACAGAAUAAACACACUUGAGACAUCAAAGAAAUAUCAUAUUAAGAGAACUGUUCAGAAAAGUAGGAUACAUUUAUUGUGUUGUUCCUAUCGUGAUACGCAUACUGAAAUUGUUGUUGUUGUUGUUUCACAUAGUUUGCAGACUGUAAUUACAGAAUUAUAGGCUGUCUUACUCAGGAUGGAUGUCUAAUCUCAACAUAAACAGAUCACACACAGCUUGUCCCAUCUUUUGGCCCCCUUUAAUAUCAAUUACAAUGGCUGUUGCUUUGACACAAUUUUGAAACAAAAAAUUAUAAGAUUAUAUCUUGUUAUAUAUCACCCAUGGAAGAAAAAUUUAAUAUUUCUUAGCUCUAUUAUAAUAGUUUUUUCCCAUCUGCCUUCAACAUUUAAAGCCUUCUAGGGAAACGACGCAUCAAAGUGCUAAGGUUCUAUUAGGGCAGACUACAAUAAAACAUAGGUGCAUAUCUUAAUGUAUAAAUUCCUCAUCUGUUAGGUACAUUUAAGAUUCUUUAUUAUAAACAAACUCACACAAAGCUAAACCAAAAGGCAAUUGUUUAGUGUAACAAUAUACUGAGUGUGGGAGCUAAAAGUUAAAAAAAAAAUUAAACUCAAGGAGACAAAGAGUGACUUUGCAUUUUGCCAUAAAAUUCGUGCCUAGGACCCCAAAGGAAAAUUGGAGGCUUUAAAUUUUCCCCAUUCUAAUAAGAUUACCCCAAUUUUUAGUGAAAGCUAAACGUGAGAUCUCUGGAAAGCAGACUCCAAGAUAGAGUUUAUCUU
rnacentral:lncRNA from 1 species